rnacentral:rRNA from 1 species
GAUGAACGCUAGCGGGAGGCCUAAUACAUGCAAGUCGAACGGUAACAGGGUAGCAAUACCGCUGACGAGUGGCGCACGGGUGCGUAACACGUACACAAUCUACCUUAUACUGGAGCAUAACCUCGGGAAACUGAGGCUAAUUCUCCAUAACAUAUUAAAAAGGCAUCUUUUUGAUAUUAAAACUCCGGUGGUAUAAGAUGAGUGUGCGUCUGAUUAGCUAGUUGGUGGGGUAACGGCUCACCAAGGCAACGAUCAGUAGCUGGUCUGAGAGGAUGAUCAGCCACACGGGCACUGAGACACGGCCCAGACUCCUACGGGAGGCAGCAGUGGGGAAUAUUGCGCAAUGGGCGAAAGCCUGACGCAGCCAAUCCGCGUGGGUGAUGAAGGCCU